UGGGGAAUAUUGCACAAUGGGCGCAAGCCUGAUGCAGCCAUGCCGCGUGUAUGAAGAAGGCCUUCGGGUUGUAAAGUACUUUCAGCGGGGAGGAAGGGAGUAAAGUUAAUACCUUUGCUCAUUGACGUUACCCGCAGAAGAAGCACCGGCUAACUCCGUGCCAGCAGCCGCGGUAAUACGGAGGGUGCAAGCGUUAAUCGGAAUUACUGGGCGUAAAGCGCACGCAGGCGGUCUGUCAAGUCGGAUGUGAAAUCCCCGGGCUCAACCUGGGAACUGCAUUCGAAACUGGCAGGCUAGAGUCUUGUAGAGGGGGGUAGAAUUCCAGGUGUAGCGGUGAAAUGCGUAGAGAUGUGGAGGAAUACCGGUGGCGAAGGCGGCCCCCUGGACAAAGACUGACGCUCAGGUGCGAAAGCGUGGGGAGCAAACAUG
rnacentral:rRNA from 1 species